rnacentral:sRNA from 1 species
CAAUAGCAAGUACGCGCGUUAGCGAUUGAAACGGCAUCCUUUUUAUGGUAAACUCGUUUCAGUGUUUAUCAUAAAAAAUAAAAACACCUAUAAAUAAGAACAGAUGCUGAAAUAAAAUCAGCAUAAAAAGAUAUAGUGGAAAGCGCGACCCUUG